GCGGCUGUAGCUCAGCUGGAUAGAGCAUCUGGCUACGAACCAGGGGGUCGGGGGUUCGAAUCCUCCCAGCCGCGCCA
rnacentral:tRNA from 1 species